rnacentral:miRNA from 1 species
UAAGGAACGCGGGGCCUUGGUAGAGC